CCCGCCGGAAAACUAAGCAUAUCAAUAAGCGGAGGAAAAGAAACCAACAGGGAUUGCCCUAGUAACGGCGAGUGAAGCGGCAACAGCUCAAAUUUGAAAUCUGGCUCUUUUAGAGUCCGAGUUGUAAUUUGCAGAGGGCGCUUUGGCUUUGGCAGCGGUCCAAGUUCCUUGGAACAGGACGUCACAGAGGGUGAGAAUCCCGUACGUGGUCGCUGGCUAUUGCCGUGUAAAGCCCCUUCGACGAGUCGAGUUGUUUGGGAAUGCAGCUCUAAAUGGGAGGUACAUUUCUUCUAAAGCUAAAUAUUGGCCAGAGACCGAUAGCGCACAAGUAGAGUGAUCGAAAGAUGAAAAGCACUUUGGAAAGAGAGUCAAACAGCACGUGAAAUUGUUGAAAGGGAAGCGCUUGCAGCCAGACUUGCUUACAGUUGCUCAUCCGGGUUUUUACCCGGUGCACUCUUCUGUAGGCAGGCCAGCAUCAGUUUGGGCGGUAGGAUAAAGGUCUCUGUCACGUACCUCCUUUCGGGGAGGCCUUAUAGGGGAGACGACAUACUACCAGCCUGGACUGAGGUCCGCGCAUCUGCUAGGAUGCUGGCGUAAUGGCUGUAAGCGGCCCGUCUUGAAACACGGACCAAGGAGUCUAACAUCUAUGCGAGUGUUUGGGUGUCAAGCCCGAGCGCGUAAUGAAAGUGAACGGAGGUGGGAACCCGCAAGGGUGCACCAUCGACCGAUCCUGAUGUCUUCGGAAGGAUUUGAGUAAGAGCAUGGCUGUUGGGACCCGAAAGAUGGUGAACUAUGCUUGAAUAGGGUGAAGCCAGAGGAAACUCUGGUGGAGGCUCGCAGCGGUUCUGACGUGCAAAUCGAUCGUCAAAUUUGGGCAUAGGGGCGAAAGACUAAUCGAAC
rnacentral:rRNA from 1 species